CAGUCGAACGGACUUAACAUGAAACCUAGUGAUUGUUAAGUUAGUGGCGGACGGGUGAGUAACGCGUGGAUAACCUGCCGUAUGCGGGGGGAUAACAGUUGGAAACAGCUGCUAAUACCGCAUAAGCGCACAGUACCGCAUGGUACGGUGUGAAAAGAUUUAUCGGCAUACGAUGGAUCCGCGUCCGAUUAGCCAGUUGGCGGGGUAACGGCCCACCAAAGCGACGAUCGGUAGCCGGCCUGAGAGGGCGGACGGCCACAUUGGGACUGAGACACGGCCCAAACUCCUACGGGAGGCAGCAGUGGGGAAUAUUGCACAAUGGGGGAAACCCUGAUGCAGCGACGCCGCGUGAGUGAAGAAGUAUCUCGGUAUGUAAAGCUCUAUCAGCAGGGAAGAAAAUGACGGUACCUGACUAAGAAGCCCCGGCUAACUACGUGCCAGCAGCCGCGGUAAUACGUAGGGGGCAAGCGUUAUCCGGAUUUACUGGGUGUAAAGGGAGCGUAGACGGCGCUGCAAGUCCGGAGUGAAAGCCCAUGGCUUAACCAUGGUACUGCUCUGGAAACUGUGGAGCUUGAGUGCGGGAGGGGCAGGCGGAAUUCCUAGUGUAGCGGUGAAAUGCGUAGAUAUUAGGAGGAACACCGGCGGCGAAGGCGGCCUGCUGGACCGUAACUGACGUUGAGGCUCGAAAGCGUGGGGAGCAAACAGGAUUAGAUACC
rnacentral:rRNA from 1 species